rnacentral:misc_RNA from 1 species
AGCGUCAUUUCAACCCUCAAGCCCUGUAGCUUGGUGCUGGGGAUCUACUGCUGUAGGCCCCGAAGUCUAGUGGCGGGCCGUCAGCGGUCCCGGGCGUAGUAAAUUACCCUCGCCCAGGGGCCGCCGGCCACCCUGCCGUCAAAAUACCCAAUUUUUAAAAGGUUGACCUCGGAUCAGGUAGGAAUACCCGCUGAACUUAA